UAACCGUUAUACGCUUAGAGCUCGAAGCAUUGUUGGAGACCCCACCCACCCACUCUGGCUCCCCUCUGGGAGGGGGUUUCCAAGGAUUUCCAGCAGGACUCCCCGAUUCUGUAGGGGCUUUACUCCCGAUGCCCUCCGCCUGGGAAACUCAGGAUGCCUUUUUCUCACCAGGUACAUGUACACAUCCGAACGAGACUGUGAUGUUUCUCUGUGUCAGAUAAUAUAGGGAGUUGAUGAGAAUGAUUCAGAGCCAAAUCUGAUGUCUGACGUGACCUGGAAGGAGAGUCCUAUCCAGCUCCAGUGGGUCCUCAAAGGCCUGAGGAACAGCAGCCAAAAAGGCAAGAGGAGAAGCCAUUUCAGUGCUCGAUGGGAGAAAAAAGGAAGAGGAGAUCCCUCACUUUCCAUCAACGAAUCUCCUCAGAAGGAAGAUCACCUCAAGGCAUGGAGUGUGGAUCUCUACCAUAGACGUCUGUCAAUCUUGAAUGGCUUGAACAGAUGCUUCCCUCCAUUUCUGCACAUUUCAAUGAGGUGUUUCUGUUCCUUUUUCUUGGAGAAGAAUUAUGGAUACAUCCAGCCAACCCCUCUGGAGGCUCCAGGACCUUCCUUUGAAAGGUUGACCAGGGAUGCCAGAAGAGUCUUCCUGCCAGGGAGUCUCUGGAUGGCUGAGGAGAAGCCUCUGUGGGGCUUUCUUGGCUUUGAGAUUCUCCCCAGAAGCUUUCAGCCAUUCCUUCUCCGGUUUAUACGGCAGCAUCAAAGGUUUCACGUCUUCAAGAGUUUCUCUCUUGUCUUCCAUUGUUCUAAUGUCUGCCUUUGUGUUUCUUUUGGACUCCGUACUAUUAAGUGGUACCAGCUGGUCUCUGUACAUCAGUCACCUGCAGAGGUUCUUCCUCAGUUCUUUCUCUCUAGAAAAAUCACAAGGUUAGAGAUAAAUUUGGACCAACAAUGAAAAUC